GAUGAACGCUGGCGGCGUGCCUAAUACAUGCAAGUCGAGCGAACGGACGAGAAGCUUGCUUCUCUGAUGUUAGCGGCGGACGGGUGAGUAACACGUGGAUAACCUACCUAUAAGACUGGGAUAACUUCGGGAAACCGGAGCUAAUACCGGAUAAUAUUUUGAACCGCAUGGUUCAAAAGUGAAAGACGGUCUUGCUGUCACUUAUAGAUGGAUCCGCGCUGCAUUAGCUAGUUGGUAAGGUAACGGCUUACCAAGGCAACGAUGCAUAGCCGACCUGAGAGGGUGAUCGGCCACACUGGAACUGAGACACGGUCCAGACUCCUACGGGAGGCAGCAGUAGGGAAUCUUCCGCAAUGGGCGAAAGCCUGACGGAGCAACGCCGCGUGAGUGAUGAAGGUCUUCGGAUCGUAAAACUCUGUUAUUAGGGAAGAACAUAUGUGUAAGUAACUGUGCACAUCUUGACGGUACCUAAUCAGAAAGCCACGGCUAACUACGUGCCAGCAGCCGCGGUAAUACGUAGGUGGCAAGCGUUAUCCGGAAUUAUUGGGCGUAAAGCGCGCGUAGGCGGUUUUUUAAGUCUGAUGUGAAAGCCCACGGCUCAACCGUGGAGGGUCAUUGGAAACUGGAAAACUUGAGUGCAGAAGAGGAAAGUGGAAUUCCAUGUGUAGCGGUGAAAUGCGCAGAGAUAUGGAGGAACACCAGUGGCGAAGGCGACUUUCUGGUCUGUAACUGACGCUGAUGUGCGAAAGCGUGGGGAUCAAACAGGAUUAGAUACCCUGGUAGUCCACGCCGUAAACGAUGAGUGCUAAGUGUUAGGGGGUUUCCGCCCCUUAGUGCUGCAGCUAACGCAUUAAGCACUCCGCCUGGGGAGUACGACCGCAAGGUUGAAACUCAAAGGAAUUGACGGGGACCCGCACAAGCGGUGGAGCAUGUGGUUUAAUUCGAAGCAACGCGAAGAACCUUACCAAAUCUUGACAUCCUUUGACAACUCUAGAGAUAGAGCCUUCCCCUUCGGGGGACAAAGUGACAGGUGGUGCAUGGUUGUCGUCAGCUCGUGUCGUGAGAUGUUGGGUUAAGUCCCGCAACGAGCGCAACCCUUAAGCUUAGUUGCCAUCAUUAAGUUGGGCACUCUGAGUUGACUGCCGGUGACAAACCGGAGGAAGGUGGGGAUGACGUCAAAUCAUCAUGCCCCUUAUGAUUUGGGCUACACACGUGCUACAAUGGACAAUACAAAGGGCAGCGAAACCGCGAGGUCAAGCAAAUCCCAUAAAGUUGUUCUCAGUUCGGAUUGUAGUCUGCAACUCGACUACAUGAAGCUGGAAUCGCUAGUAAUCGUAGAUCAGCAUGCUACGGUGAAUACGUUCCCGGGUCU
rnacentral:rRNA from 1 species